rnacentral:ncRNA from 1 species
UUAAGGGGUGCUCACUGAAGUGGGCUGAGAGUAAGCUGUGCGCUUUAACCCAUAACCUGAUUUGGAUAAUGCCAACGUAGGGAAAAUGAGAUC